rnacentral:rRNA from 1 species
CCCUGGCUCAGGACGAACGCUGGCGGCGUGCUUAACACAUGCAAGUCGAGCGGAAAGGCCCUUCGGGGUACUCGAGCGGCGAACGGGUGAGUAACACGUGAGUAAUCUGCCCCAGGCUCUGGGAUAGCCACCGGAAACGGUGAUUAAUACCGGAUACGACAACUUCCUGCAUGGGAUGGUUGUGGAAAGUUUUUCGGCCUGGGAUGUGCUCGCGGCCUAUCAGCUUGUUGGUGAGGUAAUGGCUCACCAAGGCUUCGACGGGUAGCCGGCCUGGAAGAGGGUGACCCGGCCACCACUGGGACUUGAGACACCGGGCCCAGGACUCCUACCGGGAGGCCAGCAGUGGGGAAUAUUGGAACAAAUGGGGCGGAAAGCCUGAUUCCCAGCAAACCGCCGCGUGAGGGAUGACGGCCUUCCGGGUUGUUAAACCUCUUUCAAGCACAGAACGAAGCGCAAGUGACGGUAUGUUGCAGAAGAAGGACCCGGCCAACUUACGUGCCAGCAGCCGCGGUUAAUACGUAGGGGUCCCGAGCCGUUGUCCCGGAAUUAUUUGGGCGUAAAGGGCUCGUAGGCGGUCUGUCGCGUCGGGAGUGAAAACCAGGUGCUUAACACCUGGCCUGCUUCCGAUACGGGCAGACUAGAGGUAUUCAGGGGAGAAUGGAAUUCCUGGUGUAGCGGUGAAAUGCGCAGAUAUCAGGAGGAACACCGGUGGCGAAGGCGGUUCUCUGGGAGUAUCCUGACGCUGAGGAGCGAAAGUGUGGGGAGCGAACAGGAUUAGAUACCCUGGUAGUCCACACCGUAAACGUUGGGCGCUAGGUGUGGGAUCCAUUCCACGGGUUCCGUGCCGCAGCUAACGCAUUAAGCGCCCCGCCUGGGGAGUACGGCCGCAAGGCUAAAACUCAAAGGAAUUGACGGGGGCCCGCACAAGCGGCGGAGCAUGCGGAUUAAUUCGAGCAACGCGAAGAACCUUACCUGGGUGGGACUACACCGAAAGCCGA